rnacentral:rRNA from 1 species
ACACCGCCCGUCGCUACUACCGAUUGAAUGGUUUAGUGAGGCCUUCUGAUUGGCGCCGCCGCCCCGG